AUAGACGUAGUUAGCUAUAUUUAUAAGCAGCACAAAACAGUCUUUAUUUUAGCUGCCAAAGUGGGAGAUAUUUAUGUUACGCUGUAGCUAGGCAUGUGGGAGAAGAUUUAAAUAGUUCGGCAAUUAGCAAUCUGUGAGUGAUAUUUAAGAGAUUAAACGUUACAGCUUUUUAUUAUGGGAUGAGUAGUAGGCUACCAAAUAAUUCUCAUAAAAACUUUUAACUUGGAUUCUCCUUAUUGAUGACACACUAUUUUAUUGCUACUGCAUAUCACGCACUGCUAAAUUACAUAUCACGCACAGACAUAUAACAGAAAACAUAAUAUAAACGUAUUUAACGCAAAAUGUCUUCCCUGAUACAUAAUCUUCAGAUAACUUUCCAGCAUUCGUAUAUGUGACGGUUUUCCAUUCAAGCAUAGGGUUGGUCCCCGACUUUAAGUGCCUUCCAUGAACUGCAAGGCAAGGCAUAAAAACUCAGAACGCACAAUGUAGACGAUAAUCAGAGAAGCCUACCCCCUCCGUCGGCCGAUUAUCACCCUUUCAAGUCUCGUGGCGUGCUCCCCCAUUCAUGCCUCUUAGUGACCCCUUGAACAACCCAACUUGUUGAGCUGUCUGCCUCAACUUGUAAUGGAAACUUUUGUAAACUUUUCCAUAUAAUCGCGGAAGGGGAAAAUUACCACAAAAGUGACAUUAGCCAUAUCAAUUGAAUAAAGGUGAAACGAAGAAAAGUA